rnacentral:pre_miRNA from 1 species
UUAACUCAAAUUUGUAUGGAGUUGGAAUGUUUGCCUACGUUGGCCGGAAAGGGCGCUGUUCCAACUGCAUAAAAAUGUAUGUUA